rnacentral:rRNA from 1 species
AUUGAACGCUGGCGGCAGGCCUAACACAUGCAAGUCGAGCGAGCGGCGGACGGGUGAGUCAUGUCUGGGAAACUGCCUGAUGGAGGGGGAUAACUACUGGAAACGGUAGCUAAUACCGCAUACCAUCAGAUGUGCCCAGAUGGGAUUAGCUAGUAGGUGGGGUAAUGGCUCACCUAGGCGACGAUACCUAGCUGGUCUGAGAGGAUGACCAGCCACACUGGAACUUAGAAACGGUCCAGACUCCGACGGGAGGCAGCAGUGGGGAAGAUUGCACAAUGGGCGCAAGCGUGAUGCAGCCAUGCCGCGUGGAGGAAGAAGGCCUUCGGGUUGUAAAGUACUUUAAGCGAGGAGGCGUUACUCGCAGAAGAAGCACCGGCUAACUCCGUGCCAGCAGCCGCGGUAAUUC